GAUGAACGCUGGCGGCGUGCCUAAUACAUGCAAGUCGAGCGAACAGACGAGGAGCUUGCUCCUUUGACGUUAGCGGCGGACGGGUGAGUAACACGUGGGUAACCUACCUAUAAGACUGGGAUAACUUCGGGAAACCGGAGCUAAUACCGGAUAAUAUUUCGAACCGCAUGGUUCGAUAGUGAAAGAUGGCUCUGCUAUCACUUAUAGAUGGACCUGCGCCGUAUUAGCUAGUUGGUAAGGUAACGGCUUACCAAGGCAACGAUACGUAGCCGACCUGAGAGGGGGGAAGGCCCCCACGGGAGUUGACACCCGGCCCAGGCCCCAAGGGGAGGCAGCAGUAGGGAAUCUUCCGAAAGGGGGGAAAGCCGGACGAAGCACCGCCGGGGGGGUGAAGAAGGUUUUGGGAUCGUAAAACUCUUUUAUGGGGGAAAAAAAAACGUGUAAGUAACGGUGCCCGCCUUGACGGUACCUAAUAAGAAAGCCAGGCUUAACUCGGG
rnacentral:rRNA from 1 species